CCACCGGGCCAGCCGACGGGCGUGAUGGGAGCCGAGGAGCGACAGUUGAGGCGCGCGAGGGAUCGCGAUCCAGCCGAGGCGAGCGACGGGAUCCACCAGCGCCGGGUGAAUCGUGUGCACCGGCCGAUCCAGCCGAGGCGACCGAUCCUACUGCGAAGAAAGGAAGCGCGCGACGGGAUCUAGCGCCGCGGGCGAUUAUGGCCAGCGCCUCAUCUUCUGGAAACUGCUCGCAAUCAUAUCUCAGUUUCUCAGCGCGCAUUCAUGGCGAUUCAUGCGCCAAUCCUUUCCGCUGCCGAGCGGUACGUGUAUAUAUUGCUUCCUCCUCUGGUACUCUUCGCUCACCCUCUCUAUUCCGGCAGCACAACAUCUUAGAACAUAAUGCUCGGGGAGGAGAACGGAGACACAAAAGGCUGCUGCUCCGAUGCUUGCUGGCAUGGCGCGCAAGCGCGGCAUGGGCCGUCCGAGUAUGCCUACGGCGCCUUCAAGUGGACCUGUCUCUCAGGCUAUGACUAAUCUGCUAAUUCGUUACUCCCAACUAUACUUGAUUGCUAGCAGUUCCUUGCGGUAUUCCAAAGUCUAAUUUGCCGUUCAUGUUAAAUGAAUUGUUUGUUUCAAGCUCUUGAUUCAUGUUUCUGUAUCAUUCAUGCCAUGGUAUUAUUUUGCUGUAUGCGGUGCAGUUUACUUUUGUGUUUCGUGAAGGCGUGAGGCGACGGUAAUGCCACGAUGACACAACUAGCUAGACGGGUACAUGUUGUCUCCCCCUGAAUGUGUUCCUUGAUAUUUUAUAAUGAUGCUUCAGCUCCAUGUAGGAAUAGGCAGCUGUGGAUACAUGCCGACUUGCACGCUGCAUUGUAGCCUUCAAGUGGGAGUAAUGCGUGUGGCUCUUAGUAAUGCAUGGGCGGGUAUGGAUUAUCCUACUUGUCAUUUCUGAUCCUAGCAGUGUGCUUAUUGAGGAUAUGUCGGUUCACCUGAGUCAGGGGCAAGGAGCAUGAGAGUAUAUGGAGUUGAAUAUGAUACCAAAUAACAGAGGAUGUAAUGAUGAUUCUUUGCCCUAGAACUGGCCCUUGGGUCGCUACAAAUUUGUUUUGAGAUUUGGACUUUUGAUAAUACUGUGUUUUAAAAUGAAUACUAUUUAUUUAGAGUUUUCAUUGUCAGUAUAGAUCUUUUUUCUUAGAUUUCAAAUCGUUUCAUAGUAAGAAUCCUGAAAUUGCUUUGUAUAGUGAUGAAAGUGUGGUUGUUUUGAGAACAACUGCCAUGUUAUCGGCAGUUUGAAAUUAAUGAUUGCCAGCUCUUAAUUGGUGUGGCCAUAUUUAAAAAAGAUCUCAAUUUGAAAUAGUAAUAAUUUGUUCAGGGGUUACUAUCUUUGUCUAUACCUUCUCUUGAUAAACCACAAGUCAGCUGUACUCUUAUCCUGCACAUAGCAAAAUUCUUCCGAUGUGCUUUCUUAUGUUGAGAAGCUACACUAAACCCAAUCUACAUGUACAUCUGUAGUCUGAAAUACUCAAUAUGUGUCAAUAUUGCUUGGCAGAUUAUUAUAUAAUCUAGAUUUAGUUUCUGUGACAGAGAUUGCUGUAGUAUACAAUAGGGAAUCAAUCUCUUUUUAUGUAUCUACAGUAUUUUGGCACUACUAGCUAUUCAUUGCUCUAUAUUUUUAUUUUUAAGUGCUCAAAAUUUCCCGUCAACUGUACUGUAGGAGAUUGGCAAGGCAGAUGCAUCCCUUGAGCUAUUCGGCAUGAGCUCUAUUCUCAUCAUAUAAAGAUUUUUUUCUUUGAUAAGUUCUUGGUACUUUUAUGACUAAUAACUCUUGGUUUUGCUUUUUGUUCUUUCCAGUGCUAUCAGCAGUUCAAAAUUAGUUGAACAAAUCAAAAUGAAUUAGCUAAAAGCACAGGGAACAGAGUUUAUAUGCAUGGUUCUUGAACCAUGAUAGGCGGCAUACGUCGAUCAUCAUUGCUUUUAGUAAUAAACCAACUAGGCAAUAAAGCAGAUAUGCAAGCAUUCUUUAAUUUCUUCCUUUGUAAAUUUGUGCCCUGAUUGUACAUAGUAUAAUUUUCUGUUCCAGAUUUAAUGUAUCACAUCAAUCCCUGACUAAUGUUGAAUAUUACUUGUCCUUUUAUGCAAUUGUUGGUAGUUUGCA